UGCUGUGGGAAAUCACUCUAAUCUCAUUGCAGAAUUACUGAUGACUGCUUCCAGCGUACGCCACAAAUCUGAGACUGAUUCACAUAAUCCCUCGAGUGAGAGACUGUCAGAGAGAGACUGAGGGUCUGUCUUCCAGUCUCAUUCUUGAAUGGAGGUUUACCACAGGAUAAAAAAUAAAUAAGAGCUGACACAAUAACCAGGUACUGUAUGUGUGAGGGGUCAAGGGUCAGGGUAACCCUCAGUGUGUUCAUGAACAGACUGACCUCUACACUAAAUUCCCCUCUUUGACAGGAAAUAAAAUCAAUCAGC